rnacentral:tRNA from 1 species
GGUUUUGUAGUGUAGCGGUUAUCACUCCGGAUUCUGAUCAUCUCAGAUGUAAUUCUUACCCUUCCGGCAACCCCGGUUCGAUUCCGGGCAAGACCU